AGAGUUUGAUCCUGGCUCAGGACGAACGCUGGCGGCGUGCGUAAUACAUGCAAGUCGAGCGGGCCAGUCGCGAGGCUGGCUAGCGGCGGACGGGUGAGUAACGCGUGAGUGACCUAGCCGUGAGUGGGGGAUAACUGCCCGAAAGGGUGGCUAAUCCCGCAUGUGUCCUUUCAUGCGAGUGGAAGGAGAAAGCCGAAAGGCGCUCGUGGGGGGGCUCGCGUCCCAUUAGGUGGUUGGUGGGGUAACGGCCUACCAAGCCUGGGAUGGGUAGCUGGUCUGAGAGGAUGGCCGGCCACACUGGGACUGAGAGACGGCCCAGACUCCUACGGGGGGCAGCAGUAAGGGAUCUUCGGCAAUGGCCGCAAGGCUGACCGAGCGACGCCGCGUGGGUGAUGAAGGUCUGAGGAUCGUAAAGCCCUGUUGACUGGGAAGAGGAUGGACGGUACCAGUCGAGGAAGCCCCGGCUAACCACGUGCCAGCAGCCGCGGUAAGACGUGGGGGGCAAGCGUUGUCCGGAAUUACUGGGCGUCAAGCGCGUGUAGGCGGGGGAUCAGGCGGCGUGUGAAAGACGAGGGCUCAACCCUUGGAGGUCGCGCCGAACCGGUUUUCUUGAGACUGCGAGGGGCGGGUGGAAUGGUUGGAGGAGCGGUGAAAUGCGUAGAGCCCAAUCAGAACACCAGUGGCGAAGGCGGCCCGCUGGAGCAGGACUGACGCUGAGACGCGAAAGCGCGGGGAGCAAACGGGAUUAGAUACCCCGGUAGUCCGCGCGGUAAACGAUGGACACUGGGCGUGGCGGGUAUCGACCCCUGCCGUGCCGGAGCGAACGUGGGAAGUGUCCCGCCUGGGGAGUACGGCCGCAAGGCUGAAACUCAAAGGAAUUGACGGGGGCCCGCACAAGCAGCGGAGCGUGUGGUUUAAUUCGAUGCAACGCGAAGCACCUCACCCACGCUUGACAUGGACGUGAGGGUCGCGGAGACGCGGCUGCCCGCAAGGGCGCGUUCACAGAUGCUGCAUGGCUGUCGUCAGCUCGUGCCGUGAGGUGUUGGGUUAAGUCCCGCAACGAGCGCAACCCCCGUGGUCGGUCACUCGGUGUCCGGCCAGACCGCCGCGCGAAACGCGGAGGAAGGUGGGGAUGACGUCAAGUCAGCAUGGCUCUUACGCGUGGGGCGACACACACGCUACAAUGGGGGGGACAAACGGAGGCGACAGGGCGACCUGAAGCGGAGCCGCGAAACCCUUCCUCAGUUCAGAUCGCAGGCUGCAACUCGCCUGCGUGAAGUCGGAGUUGCUAGUAACCGCCGGUCAGCAUACGGCGGUGAAUACGUUCCCGGGCCUUGUACACACCGCCCGUCACACCACGAAAGUCGGGAAGGCAUGAAGCCGGUGGGUCAGGAGACUGACCCGCGUCGAGUGCCGCCUCGGCGAUUGGGGUGAAGUCGUAACAAGGUAGCCG
rnacentral:rRNA from 1 species